ACCUGAAAGCUUGCUUAAUAAUUAUUUUCCAACUAUUUGGGUUGGUCUAAUAAAAGAUAUCAGAUUCACCCAAGGAACCUUGUCUAUCUAGAUGUAUAUGCACUGAAGCAGUAUGUGAUCCAGCAGUUUCCUGUUCAUUAGGAGUUAAUGUCUUCCCACCUUGCCUGGCAACCUCUUUAGUGUACCAGCCUAGGAUUUCUCCAUUGCAACACUACAUGCCCUAAUGCCACCCAGAGUAACAAUUCCCCAAAAAAUUGGAUCGGUAUCAGCCCCCCAAAAAUGUUUAUUGGUGCACCCCUAUUGUAUGCUAAUUGUUCUUCUUUCUUUAAAAAAAAAAAGCAAGAGAUCAUUCAUUCUGGUUUGUGAAACAGGAAACAUGUCUCUUCAGUAAGCAGUAUCAUAGCAAAUGGUUGCUAGUUCGCUGUCUUAUUUUGACAGCUUGUUUUGUUGAAUAUGAUGCGUGAUAGUCCUAGUUGACUAACUUUUAAAUCUUCAACUUUAAUGUAUCGUUUUCCUUCUUGAUUAAUGUUUGAUGUAAUUGAAUUAAAACCACUUCUCUGUAUGCAGCUCAGGCCAUGCUGUACAAGAUGCUGGGUUACAGAACUAGUGCAGAAUCAUGUAUCUUUAAAAAUCAUUGAUAUACUGGAUAUAUAAAAGUUUUUAAUGCUGUCCACCUCUGUUAGGGCCAAAGCCCUCUCAGUUUAAGCCUUAAUAAUUGGUAUUAAUGCUAGUCUCUUGGUUGGUGGGAUACUAUUGUAUUUUGCUAAGGCAGUUGGAGUCAUCAAACUGCUUUAAGCAGGACUUUCUCCUUCCAUCUUGAUUUAGUUUAUUUUGUGCAGUCUUCUUAUAAUUUUGCAAAGAAUAAAGUUAAAAUCCAUAAGGCAAAGUUAGCUUUCGCACAAGAGGUUUUUGCAUCCACAUUACAAUGGACUUGGUAGGCAUAUUUGAAGAAUUUACAUUAGAAGCUUUUUAAAUAUUUGAAAACUCUGUAUCCGUAUGAUGCAGUGUGAGCCUACUUAAUAGCUAUGUCUAUGAAGAGCUUUCCAACUAAAGACGUAAUCAAAGAUGCAAAAUCUUAGGGCACUAAGCUGUAAUAACUAAAGCUGGAUCUCUCUUCUAGACACAUUUGUGUCAGUUUUUAUUUAAAUGUAUUGCUUUCAUUUACCAAGUCACUAAGGGGCACAUUAGAGUCUUAAUUUCUUCUGAAAAAAAAUCAAGGGAGAGGUUCUUUGAGGUUUUCUCACUGGUGUAUCUGUGUGUGUGUGUGUGUGUGUGUGAUCUCAUAAUGAAUAAAUCAGAAUACUAGAUUCUUUUCUCUCUUCUGCAGAAAAAGAUGGCAAAGCCUUUCAUCCGACACAUGAAGAAAAACUGAAACUGGUGGCCCAGCACAAGGGGAAAUGCCUCAUCCGGGACCAGCUCCGAGAUGGGUGCUGAGCAGAGUGGCAGCACCAAGGAGCUUUAUGUAAGGCUCUCCAGGACUUUGGAGCCACAUCCCAGGACAGACCCUCCAAGCCACCUGCAGUAACACCAACUCUCAUGAAACAAUCACGAGACUUCUGGUUUCCAAGUCAAUUCAUUCUAACUCAUGAUCUCCCAAGACAGAGAUCAAAUCUCAGGAUUUUUUCUUCUGGAACAUGUAGAGCAGCUCUGUGGAGGGGAGAAGAAGAAGGGAGGUGCCAUGAAAAGGAAGAGUGACAGCACUUGCAAAAGAAAGAAGAGAGAUGUAAGAAAGAGGAGGAAGAAAGAUUGAGACAGGAAGAAGAGGAGAAGAGGCAGAUGGAGGAAGAGAGGCUCUGGAUGGAACAGCAGAUAGGAAGUUGAGAAAAUGAACAAGAAGAUGGAAGAAGUGAAGGAGGUCACAGUCUGAGUGGUCUCAGAAGAGUUUCUCAAGGAUGUGAAAUCCUCCAGCAAAGGCUUUCGGGAACUGCUGUCAGUACACAAGGGUGCACAUGUGAAGCAGUCAAGGAAGUCAAGGAAGAACAAGAUCUUCUACCCUCUGGUUCCUUGAGUUGAGGGCCACCAACUGGGCAUGGGACUCAUGAUGGCCUCAUCCUCCUUGCCCACUACUGUGUCGGUGCCCAUGCCAGUGCUAGUGCCCACAACUGUGGCUGCAUCCACCAUGCCCUCUACCUGGGGCAAUAACUGGACCAAGGAGGAGAGACACAGCUUUGUGGCACUGUUGGGCAAGGAGCAGCACUAAUCCAAGCGGGACAGGCACUCAGAUGCCUCCAUGUAUGAGGCACUGUCAAGCCAGAUGCAGAAGCUCAGGCACGACCUGUUGGUGCAGCAGUGCCACAUAAAAAUCAAGGUUAUGCAGGCACAGUGGGUUGCCAAGACCAACUGCAGUCAUCACCAGAGGAGAGCCCCUUCGGGGGUCCAGCUCCCUGUUGUGCUGAGCUCCUUGUCUGCAAUUUCCACCAACAACUCAGAGCCCUGGCCAGUACCUGCCUUGCCAACUCCACAGCCCCAGGGGCAGCCACAACAUGCAGCUGGCCAUGACGCUGCUGACUGCCAGCAGCAUUGGUUCCUGCCCAGGGGAGGCCCUGGCUCAGUGCCUGCACAUGACACCCACCAUCAGAGGACAAUGGCUGGAGUCGCAUGCCAUCAUCAAUAGCCAGGACUGAGUGGGGCCACCGGCUGCACCAGCCCUGGCCACGGGCUAAGGACCACACUGAGGGGAGGGCCCUCCCCGACCUGGCCCCUGCUCCCCACUCCCCACCCAGUCCUCCCACAUGCCCCUGGCCCUGGGUUCUACACCCCCCCCCCCCCCGCACACAGGGAGGCAGGAGACAGUGUCGAACUUUCAGCAGCCCAUGCCCCUAAAGCUAGGCAGGCAUGGGCCUCUCCUGCCAAGGAACAUGUCAAUGCUGGCAGCAAUGUUCUCUUUGGCUGCGGGGGGGUGCAGGGACGCAUAAUACAGCCACCGGUAGCCUUCCAGGUGGCAACAGAGGUUGCAGGGCAGCCUGGACCUGCCCCCCGUGCUGUUGUAGCUCAGGGUCUCGUACCAGGUAUGCAGGUGCACCAAGGCCAUUGUGGCAAUCAGCAGCAGCAGGGCCUGGUGGGUCAGGCAUCCCUUGUUCCAUGCAAACAGCUCCUCACACAGUGCCCAUGACGUGCAGCAGGGGCACACUCGGGGCACAGUGCUCGUGCACUGGGGGACUGGCCCUGGGCCACCUCCCUGGAGAGACCCCCUGUGGGGAGAGUGGGGGCAUGGGCAUCUCCUCAUCCCAGUCAUACUGAAGUUGUGUGUCCCCCCUCCUCCCUCCCCCCAACGGCAGCACAUGGGCUGGGCAGCAGCACAAGAGAGCAGCUGACCUAAAGCAGGAGUCUAGGGCGGGAGCGGGUUCUGGAGCCGUGGUAGCAGGUGCUGCCAGGAGCUUGGCCUGUCCUGCCUUGGUAAGAGGGCAGGGGAGGCAGGUUGCCUGCAGCCAGCACCCACCAGCCCUCCAGCCCCAGGGGAAUGAGCAGGGUUGGGGGGCUAGGCUGGUGGCCACCUGGGCCUGAGCCUGCCCACCCCAAUGUACCAUGGUCCCUCAGGACCCAUGCAUGCCUGACUCCUGAUCUGAGGCUGGGAAGCGCAUGGCUCCUGGUAUCUUAUCAGAAAUGUUGCAAACUCUUUCACAAACAUCUUCUGUCUUGUGGCUCUACAGGGCCCAAAGCUGCAUGUGAGGGAGAGGUUGUCCUAGGCAGCUGCGAUGCAGCCUCAGGGUUGUGACCGCUCACAGCCAGGGAGCUGCGGACGUGUCAGCUCCCUCAAAGGCAGACACAGGACUGCACCUUGUUCCUGGAGCAGCUGGUGGUGAGGUCACAGGAGCGGCUGGAGGAAUCACGGGCCUGGGUGGGGCAGAGGACGUUCCCCAAGAGGUUGCACAGGACCAGUGCAAGGAGGUGCAGGGUCAGGAGUUCUGGGCAGAGCUCCUGGCCCUAAAGCACAAGGAGAUCCAGCUGCUGUAGGAGCAGAACGCCCUCCUGGUCUAGGCAGUGUAGGCCAUGGAUAAUGACUGCUAGGUGCUGGACUCCAUUCUGGCCCUGGCGGUCAUAUUCAUGGCACCUACUACCCCACAACUUAGCCCUGCCUGCCCCCUGGCAGCUGCUUGCCAACCUGCAGCAAGCCCUCACCUGGGCCUAGAAGGAGGUCAUGUGCCGCCUCCAGCAGCCAGGAGCCCCUGCCCCAAGUCUGGCAUCCCCCCCUCCCCCCGCCUGGGCCCAGCCCUGCUGCUCACCCCGGCUGUUCUGGGCAUGUGCUGCAAUUGGUGCAGGGGCACGCCAAACUGAAAGUAAAGCGCUAUUCCCUGCCCCCAGCCCAGGUCUGAAAGAACCCUAUACGUCUACAGACCAAUUUUAAACACCUAGUCCGCAAUAUUCUAUACCCUUUCAAGACUUACAUCCACAAUUUUCAGAUCAUAUGCAUUGUGGGUAGCAGCAUAAGUAUUCUUCACAUAUUGCUUUAUGAUCUUGGCUUCUUCUGAAACUUUAUCAACCACCUGCAAUAAAUAAAAUAACAAGAAAAUCUGAAUUUUUAUCAGUGACCUGGAAGAUAGGAUGGGGUGCACCCUCAGCACAUUUGCAGAUGACACCAAGCCAUGGGGAGUAGUAGAUACACUGGAGGGUAGGGCUGGUAUUCAGAGAAACAAAUUGGAGGACUGGACUAAAAGAAAGCUCAUGAAGUUCAAUAAGGACAAAUGCGAAGUCCUGCACUUAGAACAGAACAAUCCCAGGCACCAGUACAGGCAAGGGACCAACAGGCUAAGCAGAAGCUCUGUAGAAAAUGACUAAGGGCAGGGGCAGUGCCAGCCCCUUCCCAAUGGGGAGGCUGCACUGCAGGCAAGAGCUGUGCAGGCUCAGCUGCAUGGGGCAGGCAGCAGCAGCCUGGGGGGAAGGGUGACACUGGAAAGGGUAACUAUAUGGGGGAGGGUUAGGCAAAUGUGGGGUGGGCUAGAGCCCCCCCCUAACCUCCCCCAGCAUCAUCCCUGACCUGAGGUUUACAGUGAACAAUAAGCUGAAUAUGAGCCAGCAGUGUACCCUUGUUGUGAAGAAAGCUAAUGGCAUACUGGGCUGCAUUAGUAAGUGUUGCCAGCAGACUGAGGGAAAUGAUUCUUCCCCUCUAUUCAGCACUGGUGAGGCCACAUCUGGAGUACUGUGUCCAGUUUUGGGUCCCCCACUAUCGAAACGAUGUGGACAAAUUGGAGACAGUCUAGCAGAGGGCAACAAAAAUUAUUAGGAGGCUGGGGCACAAGACUUCUGAGUAGGGACCCAGGAAGCACCAGUCACCGAGCCAGGGGAGCAUGCCCCCCUGCAUGCUCCCUGGUGGAUCCAGAAGUGGACCGGAAGUGCUUCUGGUCCACUUCUGGGUCUGCUACUGAGUGCACUGGGGAGCCCCCCACACUCCUGUGGGAUGCUCCAUAUCCGCCCCAGCAUCUCAGCAUUCACGAGCCACCUGCUACCAAGUGGUAUGUAGAAAAAACAUUUAAAGCUGUGUCUAUCUCUGAAUCUUUCCAAAUCUCUCCGAAUCCAUUCGUAGGGUUCCGAUUCGAUUCAGAGAAAUUAAAGGGUCCUCUGAUUCAAUUCGGAGAUUCAGCCGCCAAAUCGGACCGAAUCUCUGCCCAAUUGAAUCAGGGACUGAAGCUUCGCACAGCCCUAGUGAGAGGCCACCAAGAUGAGUUUGUCAAGAAUAAAUCUUGUCAAACCAAUCUAAUUUCAUUCGUUGGCAGGCUGGGUGGCCUUAGUGGAUAGCUGGCAGCAGUAGACGUGAUCCAUCCUAGCUUCAGUAAAUCUUUAGACACUGUCCCACAUGACAUUCAGAUAAGCAAGUUAAGAAAACACUGUCUGCAUAGGAGCAUGCAGCUGGUUUGAAAAAUUGCUCCGUGGUUAGUUCCUAAACUGGGAGAGUAUUUCCAAGUGGAGAAAGAGGUGUUAAUGUCUAGAAAGUCUGGCAUUUGUAGGUUAUUUCCUUCUGAGGCAUAUGUAAGUAAAACUACAAGACAAAAAGAUUGGACAAUAUUACAGGAUCCCCUGAGGUCUCCUAUGGCAAACCAUUAUGGGCAGGGGUAUCACAUUUAAUAAUCUGUGAAGAAUGGCACACACCUACUGCACUUAUAUAGAUGAGUGAAAUUGCCAUCGUGAAUUUAGUUUUUUUCAAGACACAAGACUGCUUGCAUUUGAGACUUGUAACUGAUGCUCCCUUUCUCCUUUGCAGGUUUGGGCAAAACUGCGCCUGAUCCCACAGCCACCAUCAGUUAUGAGGGUGUAGAAGUUCCUCUGGGGAAUGGAAUGUCAACAGGAAUUAAUGAUACUUGUCUUCUGUAUAAUGAAUGUAUUGUCUACAAUGUUGCUCAGGUAAAUCUGAAGUACCUGCUGAAACUGAAAUUCAACUACAAGACAUCACUCUAGUGAACAAUAUAUAGAAGCCCUGUUCUCAAGUUAUACCGUGGUUAUGCUAUAGCACUGACUUUUGACAUGCUUAUUAAGCAUUGACUGCCCUUAUCAAGAUAUCAAAGAACUAAGUUGCAGAAGAAGCUACUAAAUUUGAAUUUAGUAAAUCACUUUAGUGAAUUUUUUAUAUAUAUAUAAAUGUGUGGCUACACAUGGAACUGAAUUCUGAAGAGAAUGAAUAUCUGGUUCUGUCUUAUGCCACUUCUAGUUUUUCGGUUGUCAAGUGUUCCUUUUAAUACGCAGUAGACUAAAAAUCAGGCAGAAGUGUUUUUAGCCAAGCAGAAGUGGGGUAGGAGAAAUUACAGAUGUUUAUGAGCAUUUGCCCUGUUAAAAUGAAUCAUCACCCUCUUGUUUAAAAUAUUCUUUUCCAGUUUUGAUUUUGAAUAAAUGUUAAAUGUGCAUUUAUUUUGAGGUAAAAAUAAAAGCUAAUUUCAUACUAACAA